AUACCAUGUGCUGUAAGCAU
rnacentral:rRNA from 1 species